rnacentral:rRNA from 1 species
CAAGUCGAACGCGAAAGUUCCCUUCGGGGAGCAAGUAGAGUGGCGCACGGGUGAGUAACACGUAGGUAAUCUACCUUUGGAUUGGGAAUAACAACCGGAAACGGUUGCUAAUACCGAAUAAUGCAGCGGCACCUAAUGGUGACAGUUGUUAAAGCGGGGGAUCGAAAGACCUCGCGUCUAAAGAGGAGCCUGCGGCAGAUUAGCUAGUUGGUAAGGUAACGGCUUACCAAGGCGAUGAUCUGUAGCCGGCCUGAGAGGGCGGUCGGCCACACUGACACUGACAUACGGGUCAGACUCCUACGGGAGGCAGCAGUCGGGAAUUUUGGGCAAUGGGCGAAAGCCUGACCCAGCAACGCCGCGUGAAGGAUGAAAUCCCUCGGGAUGUAAACUUCGCAAGAACGGGAAGAAUAAGUGAGAGUUAAUAUCUCUCGCGAUGACGGUACCGUUUGUAAGCUCCGGCUAACUCCGUGCCAGCAGCCGCGGUAAUACGGGGGGAGCAAGCGUUGUUCGGAUUUACUGGGCGUAAAGGGCGCGUAGGCGGCCACCGCAAGUCGACUGUGAAAUCUCCGGGCUUAACCCGGAAAGGUCAGCCGAUACUGCGGGGCUAGAGUGCAGAAGGGGCAACUGGAAUUCUCGGUGUAGCGGUGAAAUGCGUAGAUAUCGAGAGGAACACCUGCGGCGAAGGCGGGUUGCUGGGCUGACACUGACGCUGAAGCGCGAAAGCUAGGGGAGCGAACGGGAUUAGAUACCCCGGGUAGUCCUAGCCCUUAAACGAUGAAUGCUUGGUGUCUGGGGUUUUAUAGUCCCC